CAUGAUUCAGCGGCGGACGGGUGAGUAAUGCCUAGGAAUCUGCCUGGUAGUGGGGGACAACGUUUCGAAAGGAACGCUAAUACCGCAUACGUCCUACGGGAGAAGGCGGGGGAUCUUCGGACCUCACGCUAUCAGAUGAGCCUAGGUCGGAUUAGCUAGUUGGUGAGGUAAAGGCUCACCAAGGCGACGAUCCGUAACUGGUCUGAGAGGAUGAUCAGUCACACUGGAACUGAGACACGGUCCAGACUCCUACGGGAGGCAGCAGUGGGGAAUAUUGGACAAUGGGCGAAAGCCUGAUCCAGCCAUGCCGCGUGUGUGAAGAAGGUCUUCGGAUUGUAAAGCACUUUAAGUUGGGAGGAAGGGCAGUAAGUUAAUACCUUGCUGUUUUGACGUUACCAACAGAAUAAGCACCGGCUAACUUCGUGCCAGCAGCCGCGGUAAUACGAAGGGUGCAAGCGUUAAUCGGAAUUACUGGGCGUAAAGCGCGCGUAGGUGGUUCGUUAAGUUGGAUGUGAAAGCCCCGGGCUCAACCUGGGAACUGCAUCCAAAACUGGCGAGCUAGAGUAUGGCAGAGGGUGGUGGAAUUUCCUGUGUAGCGGUGAAAUGCGUAGAUAUAGGAAGGAACACCAGUGGCGAAGGCGACCACCUGGGCUAAUACUGACACUGAGGUGCGAAAGCGUGGGAGCAAACAGGAUUAGAUACCCUGGUAGUCCACGCCGUAAACGAUGUCGACUAGCCGUUGGGAUCCUUGAGAUCUUAGUGGCGCAGCUAACGCAUUAAGUCGACCGCCUGGGGAGUAC
rnacentral:rRNA from 1 species